UGGGGAAUAUUGGACAAUGGGCGCAAGCCUGGUCCAGCCAUGCCGCGUGAGUGAUGAAGGCCUUAGGGUUGUAAAGCUCUUUCGACGGGGACGAUAAUGACGGUACCCGUAGAAGAAGCCCCGGCUAACUUCGUGCCAGCAGCCGCGGUAAUACGAAGGGGGCUAGCGUUGCUCGGAAUCACUGGGCGUAAAGGGCGCGUAGGCGGACGUUUAAGUCAGAGGUGAAAGCCCAGGGCUCAACCCUGGAAUGGCCUUUGAUACUGGACGUCUUGAGUCUGGUAGAGGUUGGUGGAACUGCGAGUGUAGAGGUGAAAUUCGUAGAUAUUCGCAAGAACACCGGUGGCGAAGGCGGCCAACUGGACCAGAACUGACGCUGAGGCGCGAAAGCGUGGGGAGCAAACAGGAUUAGAUACCCUGGUAGUCCACGCCGUAAACGAUGGAUGCUAGCCGUUGGCCGGUUUACCGGUCAGUGGCGCAGCUAACGCGUUAAGCAUCCCGCCUGGGGAGUACGGCCGCAAGGUUAAAACUCAAAGGAAUUGACGGGGUC
rnacentral:rRNA from 1 species